rnacentral:rRNA from 1 species
UUGGCUCGGUCUAUAUGGUCAGUCAUCCAAAUAGCUUCUGGCUUGUAUCCUCCUUCUAGUGUUGCUAAUGUAUUUGGCAACUGGUUACAUGGGCUUGAUCACAGGUUUAGAACUUGUCUCAGGAUGGGAACGCUUGUCGUUAUUUGGUCGCUUUGGCUAUAUAGAAAUGAUAAGGUUUUUAGCGAUAAAAGUACUUCUCUGAUGCAGGUUAUCUACAGAUGUACCGGGACUCUCCGUUUAUGGUCCUUUCUACAACGCGUGGAGAAUCGAGACCUGUUUAUGGAGGUGUGUACACGAUUGGAGGCUACGGCGAGGGAUACUUUUACCCAACAUGGGUGA